rnacentral:rRNA from 1 species
CCUACGGGAGGCAGCAGUGAGGAAUAUUGGUCAAUGGGCUUACGCCUGAACCAGCCAAGUCGCGUGAGGGAAGACUGCCCUAUGGGUUGUAAACCUCUUUUGUCAGGGAGCAACGCCGGCUACGUGUAGCCGGACUGAGAGUACCUGAAGAAAAAGCAUCGGCUAACUCCGUGCCAGCAGCCGCGGUAAUACGGAGGAUGCGAGCGUUAUCCGGAGUUAUGGGGUUUAAAGGGUGCGUAGGCGGAAUGCCAAGUCAGCGGUAAAAUCGCGGGGCUCAACCUCGCUCCGCCGUUGAAACUGGAGUGCUUGAGUGGGCGAGAAGUAUGCGGAAUGCGUGGUGUAGCGGUGAAAUGCAUAGAUAUCACGAAGAACUCCGGUGGCGAAGGCAGCAUACCGGCGCCCAACUGACGCUGAAGCACGAAAGCGUGGGUAGCGAACAGGAUUAGAUACCCCAGUAGUC